rnacentral:rRNA from 1 species
CCUACGGGCGGCAGCAGUGAGGAAUAUUGGGCAAUGGAGGCAACUCUGACCCAGCCAUGCCGCGUGAGUGAAGAAGGUUUUCGGAUUGUAAAGCUCUUUCGGAUGUGACGAUGAUGACUGUAGCAUCUAAGUAAGCCCCGGUUAACUUCGUGCCAGCAUCCGCGGUAAUACGAAGGGGGCAAGCGUUGUUCGGAAUUACUGGGCGGAAAGGGAGAGUUGGCGGUUUAGUAAGAUAGUGGUGAAAUCCCAGAGCUUAACUUUGGACGUUCCAUUAUAACUAUUAGACUAGAAUUACAGAGAGGAUAGUGGAAUACCCAGUGUAGAGGUGAAAUUCGUAGAUAUUGGGUAGAACACCAGUGGCGAAGGCGACUAUCUGGCUGUACAUUGACGCUGAGGCUCGAAAGCAUGGGGAUCAAACAGGAUUAGAUACCCGUGUAGUC